rnacentral:tRNA from 1 species
CGGAGUGUAGCUCAGCCCGGUUAGAGUGCUGCGUUCGGGACGCAGAGGCCGUGGGUUCAAAUCCCACCACUCCGA